ACUCAAAUGAAUUGACGGGGACCUGCACAAGUGGUGGAGCGUGUGGUUUAAUUCGACAAUAAGCGAAGAACCUUACCAAGGCUUGACAUCUCUGGAAUUCCCGGGAAACCGGGAAGUGCCGCAAGGAGCCAGAUGACAGGUGCUGCACGGUUGUCGUCAGCUCGUGCUGUGAAGUGUCCCGUUCAGUCGGUUAACGAGCGCAACCCCUAUCCUGUGUUAUACAUGUCACAGGAAACUGCCCCAGUUAAUGGGGAGGAAGGUGGGGACGAUGUCAAAUCAGCGUGGCCCUUACGCCUUGGGCGACACACGCGCUACAAUGGGAAGUAACAAUGGGUUGCCAAGCCGCGAGGCGGAGCUAAUCCCAACAAACCUUCCCCCAGUUCGGAUUGGAGGCUGCAACUCGCCUCCAUGAAGCCGGAAUCACUAGUAACGGCCGGUCAGCCAUACGGCCGUGAAUACGUUCUCAGGUCUUGUACACACCGCCCGU
rnacentral:rRNA from 1 species